ensembl:lncRNA
CUACUCACAAUCCAAGGCAGCCAUGUUGACAUGGUAACAGUGCUGGAGAUGACGGUGGCGCUCUUAAAGACAGUUCAGGAAGUAGUCCCAGCUGAGGACCCAAACAUACAGAUGAUUCAGGCUGAAGGAUGAUGACUAUAAUGAUGAGGGUGCUUUGAUGUGAUCGUCAGCUGUGUCCUCCUGCCGCCCUUCAUGCUCAUUAGCUGUCAGAGAGUCAGAAGAUCCGGGAGGCCGGACACAAGAUGGCGGCUGACCAGAACCAGAGGAAGGUGAACAGGCAAGGAGGCGCCUCACUGAUGGAGGCGAAGAAGAGGAGCAGGAGACGGACAGAUGGAGACUGAAAGUAGAGUGAUGACAUCAUCCUACUGUCGCCAUGGCAGCUGUCCAGUUGGUUUAGUUCAAGACUAUUACUUUGACAGGAGUCAUUUCCUGUAUCCUUGCUUAGAGGAUGAUGAUGAUGAAGAAGAAGAAGAUUGGUUUUUGGUUUUAAAAUUAGGUUGUGCUUCCUGUCUGUGAGCUGCA